UGCGGGUGUCGGGUGACGCCAUGGGUCUCAUAAGCCCGUCGGUCCACGUUCGACUCGUGGCCCCGCAACCA
rnacentral:tRNA from 1 species